rnacentral:rRNA from 1 species
CGUGUAGGCGGCUUGACAAGUCAGAUGUGAAAUCCCUGGGCUUUAACCCAGGAAGUGCAUUUGAAACUGUUUAGGCUGGAGUAAGGGAGAGGAAAGUGGAAUUCCUGGUGUAGAGGUGAAAUUCGUAGAUAUCAGGAGGAACACCGGUGGCGAAGGCGACUUUCUGGCCCUAUACUGACGCUGAGACGCGAAAGCGUGGGUAGCAAACA